GUCGAGCGAACAGAUAAGGAGCUUGCUCCUUUGAAGUUAGCGGCGGACGGGUGAGUAACACGUGGGUAACCUACCUAUAAGACUGGGAUAACUUCGGGAAACCGGAGCUAAUACCGGAUAACAUUUGGAACCGCAUGGUUCUAAAGUGAAAGAUGGUUUUGCUAUCACUUAUAGAUGGACCCGCGCCGUAUUAGCUAGUUGGUAAGGUAACGGCUUACCAAGGCGACGAUACGUAGCCGACCUGAGAGGGUGAUCGGCCACACUGGAACUGAGACACGGUCCAGACUCCUACGGGAGGCAGCAGUAGGGAAUCUUCCGCAAUGGGCGAAAGCCUGACGGAGCAACGCCGCGUGAGUGAUGAAGGGUUUCGGCUCGUAAAACUCUGUUAUUAGGGAAGAACAAACGUGUAAGUAACUGUGCACAUCUUGACGGUACCUAAUCAGAAAGCCACGGCUAACUACGUGCCAGCAGCCGCGGUAAUACGUAGGUGGCAAGCGUUAUCCGGAAUUAUUGGGCGUAAAGCGCGCGUAGGCGGUUUCUUAAGUCUGAUGUGAAAGCCCACGGCUCAACCGUGGAGGGUCAUUGGAAACUGGGAAACUUGAGUGCAGAAGAGGAAAGUGGAAUUCCAUGUGUAGCGGUGAAAUGCGCAGAGAUAUGGAGGAACACCAGUGGCGAAGGCGACUUUCUGGUCUGUAACUGACGCUGAUGUGCGAAAGCGUGGGGAUCAAACAGGAUUAGAUACCCUGGUAGUCCACGCCGUAAACGAUGAGUGCUAAGUGUUAGGGGGUUUCCGCCCCUUAGUGCUGCAGCUAACGCAUUAAGCACUCCGCCUGGGGAGUACGACCGCAAGGUUGAAACUCAAAGGAAUUGACGGGGACCCGCACAAGCGGUGGAGCAUGUGGUUUAAUUCGAAGCAACGCGAAGAACCUUACCAAAUCUUGACAUCCUUUGAAAACUCUAGAGAUAGAGCCUUCCCCUUCGGGGGACAAAGUGACAGGUGGUGCAUGGUUGUCGUCAGCUCGUGUCGUGAGAUGUUGGGUUAAGUCCCGCAACGAGCGCAACCCUUAAGCUUAGUUGCCAUCAUUAAGUUGGGCACUCUAGGUUGACUGCCGGUGACAAACCGGAGGAAGGUGGGGAUGACGUCAAAUCAUCAUGCCCCUUAUGAUUUGGGCUACACACGUGCUACAAUGGACAAUACAAAGGGCAGCUAAACCGCGAGGUCAUGCAAAUCCCAUAAAGUUGUUCUCAGUUCGGAUUGUAGUCUGCAACUCGACUACAUGAAGCUGGAAUCGCUAGUAAUCGUAGAUCAGCAUGCUACGGUGAAUACGUUCCCGGGUCUUGUACACACCGCCCGUCACACCACGAGAGUUUGUAACACCCGAAGCCGGUGGAGUAACCAUUUAUGGAGCUAGCCGUCGAAGG
rnacentral:rRNA from 1 species